rnacentral:rRNA from 1 species
AACUGGGAUUAGAUACCCCACUAUGCCUAGCCGUAAACAUUGAUAGUACGUUACAUCUGCUAUCCGCCCGGGUACUACGAGCAUCAGCUUAAAACCCAAAGGACUUGGCGGUGCUUUAGAUCCACCUAGAGGAGCCUGUUCUAGAACCGAUAAUCCCCGUUAAACCUCACCUUUCCUUGUUUUCCCAGCCUAUAUACCGCCGUCGUCAGCUUACCCUGCGAAGGACCAACAGUAAGCAAAAUUGGCACAGCCCAGAACGCCAGGUCGAGGUGUAGCCUAUGGAAAGGGAAGAAAUGGGCUACAUUCAAUAUUACAAUGAAUACGAAUGGGGGGUUGAAACACCCCCCUGAAGGAGGAUUUAGCAGUAAGCAGGAAAUAGAGAGUCCCGCUGAAAUUGGCCCUGAAGCGCGUACACACCGCCCGUCACUCUCCC